GUGACGGGCAGCAAAAACAUAUGCCAGAGUAGUUGGCAAUUCAUUCCGCUGUGGCGAACCCUGAUAAUAAGUGACUCAGCCAGAGGAAAAUGAAUAAAUGAAUAAUGAAAAUAACUGAGAUGUUGUUUAUUUGGACAUUAUUUACCUUGCUGAAAAUGCUUUUGAACAGGUUUAGUUGUCGUCAGCAGCGAUGAGUGUAAAUAUGUGUGUGUUUCAGGUGUGUUUGACUCUGAGUUGAGUGGACUGCCGUUGUUGGAUAAAGCUUACGUGACGUCAGCUGAGCUUCACGCGUUUGCUUCGACACAGAAAAGACCUGCGGAGAUCCAGGACGCCUCCACAAACACUGAAGCAGGUGUGUAUGGAGCUACAAAUAUGACAAAACGAGCUCAGUUUGAAUCGUGUUCAUUUGAGAAACAUGCUUACACUGUGACAUUCACACACUCGUACACUACAACCAGUUAAGUUCAUCAAUUCCUCAAUAGCGCAUGUGUUUGGACUGUGGGGGAAACCUGGGAAGGACACCCACACCAACAUGGGGAGAACAUGCAAACUCCACACAGAAAUGACAACUGACCCAGCCAGGACUCGAAACAGCGACUUUCUUGCUUUGCAGGCAACAGUGCUGACCACUGAGCCACCGUGCCGCCCUAUUAAAUUAUAAUUGUGAAUAAUUCAAAUGAACAUAACACAAUUCAGAUUCAGGUUAUUUUGUCACAUUUUUAGCUCCAUAGUGUGGCUGGAGCAGUGUCUUACAGUUACCUCACUUCUGCUUUUGUUCACUGCAGAUCCGCCUCGCUCCAUCACAGAUAAAGCCGUUUCUGUCCAGAUUCCUCCAUCUCCCAGCAUGCCAUCUGCUCCUGAAGGAGGACUGCUCGAUGUUGCUCCAGUUGUUCCUCCAGACGUCUUCAUGAACCUUCGGUACGCUAAAGAAAAACCAUCAGACCAACCGGAGAACAGCAGCCGUCCAGAGUCAGAUCAUGGAGGAGUUACUGUGAGUCCUGAGGGACGGAGGUUCAUCAAUGUGGUGGAUCUGACAGACGAGUCUCUUCUGGAGAAUCUGCCUCAGUCUCCGCCCACAUCUGCUCAACUCCACCUACUGGCAGCAUCUGUCGUAAACCACGCCCCUAACCCCUCCCACACCUUCACCCCAAACACGCCUGAAGAGAUUCCAGGUGCAGUCACAGUUCACAGAAAUACAGAAGGGAUUUUUUUAGGGCAGUUAUAUAUAAUCAGCAAUAUAU
rnacentral:lncRNA from 1 species